UACGGAGGGGGCUAGCGUUGUUCGGAAUUACUGGGCGUAAAGCGCACGUAGGCGGCUUUGUAAGUUAGAGGUGAAAGCCCGGGGCUCAACUCCGGAAUUGCCUUUAAGACUGCAUCGCUAGAAUUGUGGAGAGGUAAGUGGAAUUCCGAGUGUAGAGGUGAAAUUCGUAGAUAUUCGGGAAGAACACCAGUGGCGAAGGCGACUUACUGGACACAUAUUGACGCUGAGGUGCGAAAGCGUGGGGAGCAAACAGG
rnacentral:rRNA from 1 species